UAGAGGAAGUAAAAGUCGUAACAAGGUCUCCGUAGGUGAACCUGCGGAGGGAUCAUUACCGAGCUCAUGCCCUUCCGGGUAGAUCUCCCACCCUAUGUUAUUAUUACCUUUGUUGCUUUGGCGGGCCGCCAGGCUCCGGUCAGGCUAUCGGCUUCGGCUGGUAAGCGCCCGCCAGAGGACCCAAUAUCCUGAUUAUUAGUGUCGUCUGAGUACUAUAUAAUAGUUAAAACUUUCAACAACGGAUCUCUUGGUUCUGGCAUCGAUGAAGAACGCAGCGAAAUGCGAUAAGUAAUGUGAAUUGCAGAAUUCAGUGAAUCAUCGAAUCUUUGAACGCACAUUGCGCCCCUUGGUAUUCCGAGGGGCAUGCCUGUUCGAGCGUCAUUACAACCCUCAAGCAUUGCUUGGUGUUGGGCU
rnacentral:misc_RNA from 1 species